rnacentral:rRNA from 1 species
UACAGAGGGUGCAAGCGUUGUUCGGAAUUAUUGGGCGUAAAGGGUGCGUAGGCGGUGCGGUAAGUCUGUAGUGAAAUCUCUGGGCUCAACUCAGAGUCUGCUAUAGAAACUGCCGUGCUUGAGUAUGGCAGAGGUGUGUGGAACUCCGAGUGUAGAGGUGAAAUUCGUAGAUAUUCGGAAGAACACCAGUGGCGAAGGCGACACACUGGGCCAUUACUGACGCUGAGGCGCGAAAGCGUGGGGAGCAAACAGG